rnacentral:RNase_P_RNA from 1 species
GCGGAGGGCCGGAUGGCCGCGGGGGGCAUCCCCCGAGGAAAGUCCGGACUCCCUGAAGCAACGGUGCCGGGUAACGCCCGGGCGGAGCAAUCCGACGGACAGCGCCACAGAAAAGAAACCGCCCCGUGCGCGGGGUAAGGGUGAAACGGUGGGGUAAGAGCCCACCGCGGGACUGGCAACAGGACCGGCACGGCAAGCCCCACCGGGAGCAAUGCCAAAUAGGGACCUCGCGUGCGCGUCACAGGGCCGCUUCAGCCCGAGGGGUCCGGGUUGGCAGCAAGAGCCCGCGGGCAAUCGCGGGCCGAGACGAAUGGUCAUCGAACCGGGGGCGACCCCGGGGAACAGGAUCCGGCUUACAGGCCCUCCGCGCAU